rnacentral:rRNA from 1 species
CAGCAGCCGCGGUAAUACGAAAGGGGCUAGCGUUGUUCGGAUUUACUGGGCGUAAAGCGCACGUAGGCGGACUUUUAAGUCAGGGGUGAAAUCCCGGGGCUCAACCCCGGAACUGCCUUUGAUACUGGAAGUCUUGAGUAUGGUAGAGGUGAGUGGAAUUCCGAGUGUAGAGGUGAAAUUCGUAGAUAUUCGGAGGAACACCAGUGGCGAAGGCGGCUCACUGGACCAUUACUGACGCUGAGGUGCGAAAGCGUGGGGAGCAAACAGGAUUAGAUACCCCUGUAGUCCCUGUCUCUUAUAC